GAUGAACGCUGGCUUUGUGCCUAAUACAUGCAAGUCGAGCGAACGGACGAGAAGCUUGCUUCUCUGAUGUUAGCGGCGGACGGGUGAGUAACACGUGGAUAACCCACCUAUAAGACUGGGAUAACUUCGGGAAACCGGAGCUAAUACCGGAUAAUAUUUUGAACCGCAUGGUUCAAAAGUGAAAGACGGUCUUGCUGUCACUUAUAGAUGGAUCCGCGCUGCAUUAGCUAGUUGGUAAGGUAACGGCUUACCAAGGCAACGAUGCAUAGCCGACCUGAGAGGGUGAUCGGCCACACUGGAACUGAGACACGGUCCAGACUCCUACGGGAGGCAGCAGUAGGGAAUCUUCCGCAAUGGGCGAAAGCCUGACGGAGCAACGCCGCGUGAGUGAUGAAGGUCUUCGGAUCGUAAAACUCUGUUUUUAGGGAAGAACAUAUGUGUAAGUAACUGUGCACAUCUUGACGGUACCUAAUCAGAUAGCCACGGCUAACUACGUGCCAGCAGCCGCGGUAAUACGUAGGUGGCAAGCGUUAUCCCGAAUUAUUGGGCGUCAAGCGCGCGUAGCGGUUUUUUAAGUCUGAUGUGAAAGCCCACGGCUCAACCGUGGAGGGUCAUUGGAAACUGGAAAACUUGAGUGCAGAAGAGGAAAGUGGAAUUCCAUGUGUAGCGGUGAAAUGCGCAGAGAUAUGGAGGAACACCAGUGGCGAAGGCGACUUUCUGGUCUGUAACUGACGCUGAUGUGCGAAAGCGUGGGGAUCAAACAGGAUUAGAUACCCUGGUAGUCCACGCCGUAAACGAUGAGUGCUAAGUGUUAGGGGGUUUCCGCCCCUUAGUGCUGCAGCUAACGCAUUAAGCACUCCGCCUGGGGAGUACGACCGCAAGGUUGAAACUCAAAGGAAUUGACGGGGACCCGCACAAGCGGUGGAGCAUGUGGUUUAAUUCGAAGCAACGCGAAGAACCUUACCAAAUCUUGACAUCCUUUGACAACUCUAGAGAUAGAGCCUUCCCCUUCGGGGGACAAAGUGACAGGUGGUGCAUGGUUGUCGUCAGCUCGUGUCGUGAGAUGUUGGGUUAAGUCCCGCAACGAGCGCAACCCUUAAGCUUAGUUGCCAUCAUUAAGUUGGGCACUCUAAGUUGACUGCCGGUGACAAACCGGAGGAAGGUGGGGAUGACGUCAAAUCAUCAUGCCCCUUAUGAUUUGGGCUACACACGUGCUACAAUGGACAAUACAAAGGGCAGCGAAACCGCGAGGUCAAGCAAAUCCCAUAAAGUUGUUCUCAGUUCGGAUUGUAGUCUGCAACUCGACUACAUGAAGCUGGAAUCGCUAGUAAUCGUAGAUCAGCAUGCUACGGUGAAUACGUUCCCGGGUC
rnacentral:rRNA from 1 species